AUAAAUUCUUGGCCUAUCGGUGAAGAUCAACUGUAGCAUCGGUUCUUACCAGUUGAAUAUCUGAUACGUCACCUAUUUAAAGACUACAUCUUAAAUGGACUUUUAGAAGCGGAAAUUCACAGAGGGCCGCUGCCCUGGAGGUUGCUGGCUGCCUGGAGCAAGCAGAAAUUAGGGUUGCAAGUUUA